CGGUACCUGAAGAAAAAGCAUCGGCUAACUCCGUGCCAGCAGCCGCGGUAAUACGGAGGAUGCGAGCGUUAUCCGGAAUCAUUGGGCGUAAAGGGUCCGCAGGUGGCCAAUCAAGUCGGCUGUUAAAGACCGGGGCUUAACUCCGGGCAGGCAGUGGAAACUGAUUAGCUAGAGUACGGUAGGGGUAGAGGGAAUUCCCAGUGUAGCGGUGAAAUGCGUAGAUAUUGGGAAGAACACCGGUGGCGAAAGCGCUCUACUAGGCCGAAACUGACACUGAGGGACGAAAGCUAGGGUAGCGAAAGGGAUUAGAUACCCCUGUAGUCUUAGCUGUAAACGAUGGAUACUAGGUGUAGCUCGUAUCGACCCCAGCUGUGCCAAAGUUAACGCGAUAAGUAUCCCGCCUGGGGAGUACGCACGCAAGUGUGAAACUCAAAGGAAUUGACGGGGGCCCGCACAAGCGGUGGAGUAUGUGGUUUAAUUCGAUGCAACGCGAAGAACCUUACCAGGGCUUGACAUGUCGCGAACUCAGCGGAAACGUUAGAGUGCCUUAGGGAAUGCGAACACAGGUGGUGCAUGGCUGUCGUCAGCUCGUGUCGUGAGAUGUUGGGUUAAGUCCCGCAACGAGCGCAACCCUCGUCCUUAGUUGCCAAUAUUAAGUUAGGCACUCUAGGGAUACUGCCGGGGACAACUCGGAGGAAGGUGGGGAUGACGUCAAGUCAGCAUGCCCCUUACGUCCUGGGCGACACACGUACUACAAUGGUUGGGACAAAGGGCAGCAAGCUCGCGAGAGUAAGCGAAUCUCAUCAAACCCAGCCACAGUUCAGAUUGCAGGCUGCAACUCGCCUGCAUGAAGUAGGAAUCGCUAGUAAUCGCAGGUCAGCAUACUGCGGUGAAUUCGUUCCCGGGCCUUGUACACACCGCCCGUCACACCAUGGAAGCUGGCUACGCCCGAAGUCGUUACCCUAACCCUAAGGGGAGGGGGAUGCCGAAGGUAGAGCUAGUGACUGGGGUGAAGUCGUAACAAGGUAGCCGUACCUGAAGGUGUGGCUGGAUCACCUCCUUU
rnacentral:rRNA from 1 species